rnacentral:lncRNA from 1 species
CUUUAGGGCUGCACCCAUGGCAUAUGGAAGUUCCCAGGCUAGGGGUCUAAUCGGAGCUACAACUGCUGACCUAUGCCACAGCAACGUGGGAUUUGAGCUGCGUCUUCGACCUAUACCACAGCUCACAGCAACGCUGGAUCCCCGACCCACUGAGCGAGGCCAGGGCUCGAACCUGCAUCCUCAUGGCUACUAGAGUAAGCACACGCCUUUUUUCCUUACUGUUUUUAACUGAAAACAGGAGUCAAUUGAGAUUUAGCUUUCUUGCUGGAUUAGAGACCCCAGCAGGUGCUCCUUAUCCCCUACCUUCCCGCCCCAGAGGCCCUAGAGAUGGUGACCGACCUACCCAGUCACAGGUGGAGAACUCUGGGUGUGCCCCUCUAAGGGCUCCAAGGGCUGGCUGAUCAGAGAGGAGAGUGAGGAAAGUCGACUCCUUUCCUUGCUCCCCACACAGAGGAUCUGUGUUCGCUGGAUCACAGUGCUCCCCUUCCCUUUCCUAUCUCUGCUUUCAGAAGGGGAAGCAGGUGCAUUUGGCCAGUAAGAGGAUGACCACCCUUGAUGGGCGACCCCUGCCCGGAGAAGGUAGAGAACAGCAAACUCACCAGUGUGAAACAAAAUUCUUAUUUUACGGCAAGACAAGGAAAAUUUAAACAUCAAAAAACCCCUCUACCCCUUGGCUUCUUCUCUCCCUUCCACUGUGCCUUGUGUGUCUGCAUUAGGCAUCGACCACACCUUCCCCAUUGGCAGUAACACCUGCUCAGUCAUGAAGAGCAACGUUCUCGUCGCACCAACAACUCCGCAAGAGAUACCAUUCCCUUCUUGGUCCUGUAAGGGGUCACAUGACCACCCCUUUGUACGUGCAGAUUUGGAUGGUAUAAACUGUCAGCAAUACGUCAUUGGAGGUACAGCCCUCUGUCUCAAAACACUUUGACUUCUAACAGGAGGAAUAGUUCUUUGAACUUUCUGAGGGGCUAUUCCUGGAUUAUAGCUUUCAAUUUGGCUUGAAUAAAAAUUUCCAUUUCUUUUUCAAUUGACUAGUUAUUUUUUUCAUCAACAGCAGAUAUGAGGGAGAGAAGGUCCAGGGGCAGUGAGGUGUGGGUGUCCUGGGCCCAAGUUUGGGUAGAAGAGGUCUGUUUGGCUCCCUCCUCUUCCAGGACAUGGAUAAGGCAGCCAAGCUGCCACCCCCAAAGAGAAAGAAAAGCAGGGUCCAUGGGACUUCAUCACAGAUCCUGAGGUUUCCACUGGCUUGACCAACCCAACAAGUUUCCCGGGAAUUAACACUUUAUGAGGAUGACACCUGAGGGAGGCCCAGGGGACACAGGAGAGGCUGGGCAAGCAGACUGAGUGAAUUUGUGGGGACUGUUUAGCCAAAAAUUUAUGAUGCUCUUAUUAAGUUAAGGGUUGCCAAUAAGAACGGCAAGAAACAGAGGUCAACAGAGGUCAAGGCCAUCUCUGGCCAUGACUAUCAGAGCCCUUGGAAACAGGAGCAAUUUCAAAUGAAAUAGACAUAGUAGCACAGCUUGGUGCCUGUACGUUAGUGCUUCCUAUGCACAUAUAAAUACAUGCCAUUUAUCAAUGUAUCAUACAAAACAUACCACACUGAUGUGUGCGUGUGUGUGUGUGUUGUGCCUGGUUUAUAGCUGGUGCUUAAUAAAUAUUUGUUGAAUGUCCACCUAUAAACAACAUACGGUAUUUAUUUAUUUAUUUAGUCUUUUUUUUUGUCUUUAGAGGGCUGCACCCAUGGCAUAUGGAGGUUCCCAGGCUAGGGGUUGAAUUGGAGCUACAGCUGCCGGCCUACACCACAGCCACAGCGACUCAGGAUCCAAGCCACAUCUGUGACCUACACCACAGCUCACGGCAAUGCCAGAUCCUUAACCCACUGAGCAAGGCCAGGGAUUGAACCAGCAUCCUCAUGGUUCCUAGUCGGAUUCAUUUCAGCUGUACCCUGACGGGAACUCCAAUACAUGGUAUUUUAAAAUCUGUAUGGUAUCAUACAAAUUUUAUCAUUCUGCUUAUUCCUCAUUCAUUUCAUAAUAUGAUUUGAGAUCUAUAAUUGUGGAGAUACACACACACACACACACACACACACACCCCUGGAUCUUUUAACUGCUGCAUUAUAUUGUACUGUAGGAAUAUAAAGGUUUUUAUUUAUUCAUUUCUCUAGUGGUAGUCACUUAAAUUGCUUCCCGAUUUUUAAGAUUUGUUGUCCUUGAACAUAGCAGGCGGCAGUGAACUUUACUGCACACAUGUAAAAGAAUUUCAAGGAUACAGUCCCAUAAGCUAAAUGGAUGCGUUUUACUGGCUUGCAUUAAUAGUACUUCUUUAUACAUUCUGGCUAUAGAUCCUUUUAUGUUCUAAGUACUGCAAAUAUAGUCCAAACUAGUUCACUGGAAGCUCUGUAUUUGGGAAUUACGAGACUCAUUCACAAGAUGGAUAAUGACCCAUGAUGCUCACCUGACUCCCUGUGUCUGUUUUAAACUUGUUAAGAACCCCAAAGGGAGGCAGAAUAUGAUUAAACGUGUCCAAACCUGCAGCAAUCAAUUCUGAGAAUAUGCGUUUAAAGUAUUUAGCACCCCUCUUUUGACUAUAUUUAGAAACACGGGAUGAAAAAGAGGGCAAUCUAGAAGUGUCUGUUCCAAGAAUGCGAAUCUUUAAGAAUUCUCCACAGAAUUUCCAUGAGAGGAAUAAGUAUUCCACAAAUAACAAGCUAUCUCCGAGUAAAAAAAUUCAAGAAAUACAUAAUGUGUUUCAUAAUUCCUUCCCAACUGGUAGAAAUGAGCAAGUCUCAUUCUUUGCUAGGGAAGAUUUUGUUCAGGGGGAGUUUAAAAAGUUGGGGGUAAAGUCUUGGAUAAGCUGCUCUCUGGAGUUUCUCCCAACUCAAAAC